rnacentral:rRNA from 1 species
UACGUAGGUGGCGAGCGUUAUCCGGAAUUAUUGGGCGUAAAGCGUCCGCAGCCGGCUUGAUAAGUCUAGAAUAAAAGCCUGGGGCUUAACCCCAGAUCGUUCUAGAAACUGCCAAGCUCGAGUGUGGUAGAGGCAAAUGGAAUUUCUAGUGUAGCGGUAAAAUGCGUAGAUAUUAGAAGGAACACCAGUGGCGAAGGCGAUUUGCUGGGCCAUAACUGACGGUCAGGGACGAAAGCGUGGGGAGCAAAUA